rnacentral:rRNA from 1 species
CCCUUAGAUGUUCUGGGCUGCACGCGCGCUACACUGAUGCGUUCAACAAGUUGGACCUCGUCCGAGAGGAAAUCGGGGGAAUCUUUUGAAAACGUAUCGUGAUAGGGAUAGAUUAUUGAAAUUAUUAAUCUUGAACGAGGAAUUCCUAGUAAACGCAGAUCAUCAAUCUGCAUUGAUUACGUCCCUGCCCUUUGUACACACCGCCCGUCGCACCUACCGAUUGGAUGGUCCGGUGAAGCCUCGGGAUUGUGGUUCUUGCCGCUUUAUUGUGGCGUGACCGCGAGAACUUGUCUAAACCUUAUCAUCUAGAGGAAGGUGAAGUCGUAACA